UGCACAUCUUUCAAACAGUGGCUGGUAUUUUCACCUAACAGUGAGACUGGUGGGAAAUGUCAGCAAUGGUGACUUUGGGGUAUAGUUUCUCCCAGUAAGGAAGGCAAAUUCUACAAAAAGAAUGAAGCACAGCAGACAAAGUGAAGCGCUGGUUUUUACAAGCCUGAGGAAGGCGAGGAAGUCUGUCUGCAAUGUCUGCUGCAUCCAUCUUAGUAGUAGCCACUCCUGGAAAUGAUAUCACUGCUCGAGCCCCCUUGCCCCUGCUUACAGGACAAGGACACCUUGCCGCAACAGGUACCAGUUAACUCAAUGAUUUUUUUACUGCUGGGAAAGUGGAGCAAAAGUUCUGGGCAUUUGGCCAUAUAUGGAGGCUGUUUUGGUUGUCACAACUACAUGGAGGGUACUACUGCAUCCAGUUGGUAGAAGUCAGGAAUGCUAAUAAACAAUGCACAUAACAGCUAUGCACACACAAAAAAUUAUCCAGCCCAAAUUAAAUUUGUUGGCCUUGAUUACCUUUUACCUUCAAAUUAGUUUAGCCCUACUGUUAAUGUAACACACUUUGUGGGGGUCUUUGUGCAAACCCUGUGUAUUCAAUUCAAUCUCACCUCUCUGUUAGGUUGGAACUCAAAUAUCCCUCAACACUGAACUCUGACUGAUUCAUUCUAUUUGGUAGUCAUUCUUUGUCCACCCUUGUGUAGUUUCAGUCAGUGCACAGCUAACUUAGUAUUAUUUCAAGUCUCAAGAAGAUGCUCGGCAGAUUUCUGGAGCUCUUUUCCUUUAGGAUUCUGCCCCACAAAUUCCAUCUGUUCUUCCUCCCCAAAGUAUGAUGCCUUUUUCCUCGAUUCAGCAAGACCAUUAUACUCUGCUUGGGUUGACUCUCCUAAAUUGUAGUCCAGAACAUGGCGAACAGAAGCCCAGAGUGAUCAUGUGGUUCAUCUUGGUUGUUCUUUGUCUCUCAAAGAUGGCAGUCUUGUGCUACACAUCAUGUAAUGUCUGAAAAUAAUUGCUUCCUGUAUUUUGUUCAGUUUUCAUGUUGUUCAUGAAAGAGACCAAUCUGAUAUUAGAUCCUUUAUCAUGGCUACAAGUGGAAAUUUGAGAUGCAUAUUUUGAGAAAACUGAAGAGAUUGACUCAUUUUCUCAUUUUUGUAUGGCCAUAUUGGAGUUGACCUGAAAUAACUUCUUUAAAAUUAAUGUUUUCACAUUAAUAAAUACUCUCAGUGUAACAUCUGGCAAUAGAGCAAUAAAGGCUGAAAUUGAAAAAGUACUGCUGAGGCUAUUAUUACAAAGAAGCAAAAAUACUUUUUAUGUUUUUGAUCCUUAGAGCACUUUUUUUUUUGAGGUGGAGUCUCCCUCCAUCACCCAAGGUGGAGUACAGUAGUGCCGUCUUGGCUCACUGUGAAUUCUGCCUCCCUGGUUUAAGCAAUUCUCUUGCCUCAGUCUCUUGAGUAGCUGGAACUACAGACAUGCAUCACCACACCAAAGUACUUUCCACACUCCCUCUUUUAAAGUCUACUCUGCUUAGUAGGGAGGGGCAGACUACAUUGAUUCAUUCCUUCUCAAAUGUAUGCAGCAAGUUUAAUCAACAAAUAUUGAUUGACUACCUAUUGUGUCUGGGCACUGCUCUGUAUAGUGAACAUCUUUUUGAAAAAGACACAAACAAGCAAGAGGAGAAGAUAAGAAUGAUCCAUGUAGUAAUAAAUUAGAGUUGUAGACAUCAAGAUAAAUUCACAUUUAGCUUGAUAUAGUUGGUUACACUAUAGAAAUGGUUACAAAUAGAUGGUUGCACACAGAAAUAUUUAUAGAUAUGUGUAUACAGACAUGUUAGUAUACACACAUACAUGUCCUUGCUCUGUCAGCUACGGGACCUAAAUGAAAUAACAUUCAUUAGCAGUGAGUACACCUGGCACCUUGAUUUUGGUUUCUAAAUGCCAUUUUCUAGUAUAAGGAACCAGGACUCUAUGGAAAAAUAUCUGAUUCUAGGACAGGGGCCAGAAUAUCUGGAGCAUCUUGUAUUAUCGAAAAGUAAGAAAAUACUUUUAAAGGAAGCCCACAAUAAUAGAAGUAUGCUGAAGAGACCCAGAAGCAAACCAAAAGAGCUCCCAGAAGGCAAGGCCGAAACAAUGUGAGCAACAAAAUGAGGUGUUAUUGUAUUAUAGACAAAGUCUAAAAUCAAUAUCUAUGAUUCACAUUGACACAAAUAAAUGACUGAUAGAUAAAUGGGACACAAAAGACAAUCUUCUGUGCAGAAGAAUUCCAAUUAGCUGUGGAGAUAUUUUUCCUUGAUUUAGGUGGAGCAUAACUGCCCCUCCAUAACCAUAAGUUGUAUAUAGUGACUUCCUUCCAAAAAAGACAGUAUGAAGGAAGGGUAGGGAGGUAGAAUGGUAACUUAACAGUGAAGAGCCUGACAAAACAUGACUUCAGCCAGGUGCUCAAGGUCAAUAUCACAGUGAUGAAUCAUGUUGAUGGCACGUGCCUUUUUAUACUAUCUGAUGAAAAUGACACUUUACCUCUGUGGUCUUUUUCCCGAAACCCGUAACUUCAGUCUAAUCAUGAAAAACAUCAGUCAAACCCAAUUCAGAGAUGUUUUAUGAAAUGCCUGACCAUCACCCUUCACAAGUCUUAAAGCCAUCAGAAACAAGAACAGUCUGAGAAACUGUCACAGCCGAGAGGAGUCUAUGGAGACAUGACGACUCAGUGUAAUGUGGUGACCAGAAUGAAAGGCUGGCACAGAAAAAAACAUUAGAUAAAAACGAAGAAAAUUUGAAUAAACUAUAAAAUUAAAUUCACAGUAGAGUAUCAGUGUUGAUUCAUCAGGAGUAACAAAUGCAAUGUUCUACUGUCACAUACAAUGUUAAGAAAUGGGGAAACUAAAUGAGGGGUAUGUGGGAAUUCUCUGUACUAU